UACGGAGGGUGCGAGCGUUGUCCGGAAUCAUUGGGCGUAAAGGGCGCGUAGGUGGCCCGGUCAGUUCGUGGUGAAAGCGCGGGGCUCAACCCUGCGUCGGCCAUGAAUACUGCCGCGGCUGGAGCACUGUAGAGGCAGGCGGAAUUCCGGGUGUACGCGGUGGAAUGCGUAGAGAUCCGGAAGAACACCGGUGGCGAAGGCGGCCUGCUGGGCAGUGCUGGACACUGAGGCGCGACAGCGUGGGAGCAAC
rnacentral:rRNA from 1 species